GGGAAUGUGGUUCAGUGGUAGAGUUCUUGUCUUGCAUGCAUGAGGCCCUGGGUUCAAUUCCUCAGCACCA
rnacentral:tRNA from 1 species